CAACUUCUGAAUGUUGACCUCGGAUCAGGUAGGAAUACCCGCUGAACUUAAGCAUAUCAAUAAGCGGAGGA
rnacentral:rRNA from 1 species